GGGAUUGGACUUUUGGUCUUGGUACAUGGCUCAGUAUGUUAAUUAAGAAAAUAUUGUAUUUCUUACUUAUCGCAGUAUUUGUCAUAAUGAUGAUUUUUCUGACAUUUAAGUUCUUCUCCUGUCUUCUAUCAUCCUUGUGUAAAUCAAAACCUCAUGUUGGUCGUACCUUAACUUAUAUGCCAGCUUCCUCAACUUCUGACACCUACAGAGCUGUAUAACUGAUGAAGGAACAUUCCUCCUGUGACCCCUGGCUUGCCCUGUC